rnacentral:rRNA from 1 species
UACGGGGGGGGCAAGCGUUGUUCGGAAUUACUGGGCGUAAAGGGCUCGUAGGCGGCCAACUAAGUCGGACGUGAAAUCCCUCGGCUCAACCGGGGAACUGCGUCCGAUACUGGAUGGCUUGAAUCCGGGAGAGGGAUGCGGAAUUCCAGGUGUAGCGGUGAAAUGCGUAGAUAUCUGGAGGAACACCGGUGGCGAAGGCGGCAUCCUGGACCGGCAUUGACGCUGAGGAGCGAAAGCCAGGGGAGCAAACGGG